rnacentral:rRNA from 1 species
UACGUAGGGUGCGAGCGUUGUCCGGAAUUACUGGGCGUAAAGGGCUCGUAGGCGGUUUGUCGCGUCGUCUGUGAAAACCAGCAGCUCAACUGUUGGCUUGCAGGCGAUACGGGCAGACUUGAGUACUGCAGGGGAGACUGGAAUUCCUGGUGUAGCGGUGAAAUGCGCAGAUAUCAGGAGGAACACCGGUGGCGAAGGCGGUUCUCUGGGCAUUACCUGACGCUGAGGAGCGAAAGUGUGGGGAGCGAACAGG